GAUCGAUGUUAUAAAUUUCGAAUAAGAACUAGAUCGAGAUCCAAUCUACUGCAUGAAUUUUGAAACAAUCUCACGUCAUCUUAUUUUUAUCUCAAGUUUAUCCUAGGAUCUGUGAUGCAAUCAGAGAGAGAAAGAGAGAGAGUAAAAAGAUUCUAGAGAGAUAAAAUCUAUAAAGAGAGAGAAAAAGUUUAAAGAGAGAAAAUAGAGAGAAAAAUUGGAGAGAGAAAGUAGAGAGAGGAGAG
rnacentral:lncRNA from 1 species